rnacentral:rRNA from 1 species
AGCUCCAAUAGCGUAUAUUAAUGUUGUUGCAGUUAAAAAGCUCGUAGUUGAAUGUCCGGCAAUUUAUUGCCUUUCUGUGAGGUUUAAAGAUACCGUAAAAAGUUUCUUUCUACUAAGCAGACUAUUACUGUGAACAAAUUAAAGUGCUUAAAGCAGGCUUGUGCUUGUAUAUUUUAGCAUGGAAUAAUAAAAUAUGACUUUUUUCAUUUUAUUGGUUAUUGGAAGAAGUAAUGAUUAACAGAAACAGUUGGGGGCAUUCGUAUUCAAUAGUUAGAGGUGGAAUUUUUUUAUUUAUUGAGGACGAACUAGUGCGAAAGCAUUUGCCAAGGAUGUUUUCA